AUGCAAGAAUUGGGAGAUGUGUACUGCUCGGUUGAGAAGUGGUGUGAAUUGGUGGAAAAAUUCACACCCAGACAGCGCAUGAUGCUACGUGGCACAAGUUUGGACUACGGCAUCAGUGUGCUUAAUGAAGAUGUUUACGACAUAUUCGGGCUACGUAACGAGGGUGAUGAUUCAUAUGAUGAUGAUUUUGUGAGAAGGGUCGUACUAGUUCUUAUGGGUACAGUCUUAGCACCACAAUCCACCAAGUUUGUUCCUUAUCGUUAUUACAAAAUGGUGGAGGACAUGAACGCUAUCAAGUCAUACAAUUGGAACGAUUUCACGUUGAGGGUGUGCAUGGAUGCUAUUAAAAAUCGGUCGAAGAUCUUGAAAAAUUCAAGUGGCCUAUCGGGAACUUGGCUCUUCUUCAGGUACAAGAAAUUUGUAAUAGUUACUAUCAUGCAGUAUAUAUACUGGGAAAAAGUUGAGCCAAUUGGUGUGGAUACAUUUGAUCAUUUGUCUCGUGAAUACCUACUAAUGGUUAACUGGCCAGAAACGGAAGGGAAAAAGAGAGACGACUAUGACAACAUGCACGGGUGUGGCACCGGCAAUCUUGAAAAUUAA
rnacentral:rRNA from 1 species